CCCUUAGAUGUUCUGGGCCGCACGCGUGCUACACUGAGUGGAUCAGCGGGUCAGGUUGCGCGAAAGCGUUUCCUAAUCUUUAAAUCCGCUCGUGAUGGGGAUUGACGGUUGCAAUUUUCUGUCAUGAACGAGGAAUACCUUGUAAGCGCGGGUCAUCAUCCCGCGCUGAAUACGUCCCUUCCCUUUGUACACACCGCCCGUCGCUCCUACCGAUUGAGUGGUCCGGUGAGGCUUUGGGAUCUGAGCGGAAAGAGCGUUUCGCUGUUUCUGCUCGGAAAACUCAGUCGAACCUUAUCAUUUAGAGGAAGGAGAAGUCGUAACA
rnacentral:rRNA from 1 species